rnacentral:rRNA from 1 species
CCUACGGGUGGCAGCAGUGAGGAAUAUUGGUCAAUGGGCGCGAGCCUGAACCAGCCAAGUAGCGUGAAGGAUGACUGCCCUACGGGUUGUAAACUUCUUUUAUAAAGGAAUAAAGUGAGGCACGUGUUCCUUUUUGUAUGUACUUUAUGAAUAAGGAUCGGCUAACUCCGUUCCAGCAGCCGCGGUAAUACGGAGGAUCCGAGCGUUAUCCGGAUUUAUUGGGUUUAAGGGGAGCGUAGAUGGGUGGUUAAGUCAGUUGUGAAAGUUUGUGGCUCAACCGUAAAAUUGCAAUUGAUACUGGCAGCCUUGAGUACAGUUGAGGUAGGCGGAAUUCGUGGUGUAGCGGUGAAAUGCGUAGAUAUAUCGAAGAACUACGAUUGCGAAGGCAGCUUACUAAACUGCAACUGACAUUGAUGCUCGAAAGUGUGGGUAUCAAACAGGAUUAGAUACCCCUGUAGUC